UACCAAUAGAUCCUUUUUCUGAGCUAGGCUGCAGCUUUAAGCCCUGGACAUACAAAAUCUUGCUCUGUUAAUGUUACGCACUGUGAGUCGCCUGAUGAAGUUCAGUAGGGCUGUUUGUACUGCAUGAAGCUAAGCAGGCAGGGAAGGCUUUGAGGGACUUGGAGCUCACACAGCAAGAGAUGGCCUAUAACUAUGCUCUCUCAAGGGCAGACAAGGGAACAACUAAUAACUUUGCCUCUGAGAUAAGGAUCUGUCUGUCUAAGGAUGUGCCUAUGUGGUCUUCAGGGCUGACAGAUAUUCUCUGCUCAGACUCCGGGAGAGCUGAAGGGCAGCUACCUCUCAACAUCUGGGUACAUGCAUUAGCAUGGCAUUUGCUGCAGUGAAUAUAUGCUGCCACGCAGCCAUUUUAUGCCUUUACUAUGCCAUGUGGAUUUGCUUUGCUGCUGCCCAAUAGACAACUCACAGGGAAAGUUUGUAAGGGAAAGGGCCAAUAUGAAAUGACUCACAUCUGACAAUGAACAUCUGACAAUGCUCAGACACUUUCUGGCAAGGAGGUUACAUCCAAACUGUCAUGUUUAAUAAUAACUGAAUGUGAAUGAACAAGUCUGAGUAUUUUUGAACAAAUAUAUACCACUGAGCUCAACAUCCUGUGGCAGGGAGCUGUACAGUUUUUCUUGGUGUCACAAGUCAUCCUUUAACAGCAGUCUCUUAUUCCAGAGAGCUAAUAAUUCUCUGCUGUUUCUUCCCUGAAGCUCACUGAGCCAGCUGGCAUGAGACCAGAGGCAAGGUUCUGCCUGUCUUCUAUUCUACAAACCAAUUGCCUCUGUGGCUGCUACCUGUCUUGCCUCGCAUCUGCUCUGUGACUGACUGCAUCAGUGGCCCUCUCGACCCAUAUGCCUCCAUGCGAAUGGGAGCUUCUCUGCAACUCUUGUUGAGCUGAUUAGACUGGAGUGGAAGAAAUCAACUUCUACAGCAGCCUGGAAGCAGCAAGGCACAGAACAGGACCCUCUGCUGUGCCCAGCUAUUUCAAUAGAGAGACUUGAAAAACAGGUCAAAUGGCAAUCUAACAUUUCUUAGGCACUUUCUUACCUUUUUUUUGGUAGAUUUUGCUGUUGUUCACCUUGAUACAGGUGAACUCUGAGGAUGUUAAGUGACCAAGGCUACCAUUUUUGGUCAAUAUGAAGGGUGUUUAUUUGUUUUCUUGAUG